UUUAAAAAGAUAUUGUGUCAGCCAGGCGCAGGGUCUCACGCCUGUAAUCCCAGCACUUUGGGAGGCCAAGGCAGGCAGAUCACGAGGUCAGGAGUUUGAGAC